rnacentral:rRNA from 1 species
UACGUAGGGGGCAAGCGUUGUCCGGAAUUAUUGGGCGUAAAGGGCGCGUAGGCGGAUAGUUAAGUCCGGUGUGAAAGAUCAGGGCUCAACCCUGAGAGUGCAUCGGAAACUGGUUAUCUUGAGGACAGGAGAGGAAAGUGGAAUUCCUAGUGUAGCGGUGAAAUGCGUAGAUAUUAGGAGGAACACCAGUGGCGAAGGCGACUUUCUGGACUGUAACUGACGCUGAGGCGCGAAAGCGUGGGGAGCAAAC